rnacentral:rRNA from 1 species
UACGUAGGUGGCGAGCGUUGUCCGGAAUUAUUGGGCGUAAAGGGAGCGCAGGCGGGAAAGUAAGUCUAUCUUAAAAGUGCGGGGCUCAACCCCGUGAGGGGAUAGAAACUAUUUUUCUUGAGUGCAGGAGAGGAAAGCGGAAUUCCUAGUGUAGCGGUGAAAUGCGUAGAUAUUAGGAGGAACACCAGUGGCGAAGGCGGCUUUCUGGACUGUAACUGACGCUGAGGCUCGAAAGCCAGGGGAGCGAACGGGAUUAGAUACCCCGGUAGUCCUGGCCGUAAACGAUGAAUGCUAGGUGUAGGAGGUAUCGACCCCUCCUGUGCCGGAGUUAACGCAAUAAGCAUUCCGCCUGGGGAGUACGGCCGCAAGGCUGAA